AGCCCUCCCGCGCCGGGGUCAUGGCGCGGCUUCCCUCCCUGUUGGACUGCCCGGGCUUCGGCCCGGGCAUUUUU
rnacentral:ncRNA from 1 species